UUAAGCGACUAAGCGUACACGGUGGAUGCCCUGGCAGUCAGAGGCGAUGAAGGACGUGCUAAUCUGCGAUAAGCGUCGGUAAGGUGAUAUGAACCGUUAUAACCGGCGAUUUCCGAAUGGGGAAACCCAGUGUGAUUCGUCACACUAUCAUUAACUGAAUCCAUAGGUUAAUGAGGCGAACCGGGGGAACUGAAACAUCUAAGUACCCCGAGGAAAAGAAAUCAACCGAGAUUCCCCCAGUAGCGGCGAGCGAACGGGGAGCAGCCCAGAGCCUGAAUCAGUGUGUGUGUUAGUGGAAGCGUCUGGAAAGGCGCGCGAUACAGGGUGACAGCCCCGUACACAAAAAUGCACAUGCUGUGAGCUCGAUGAGUAGGGCGGGACACGUGGUAUCCUGUCUGAAUAUGGGGGGACCAUCCUCCAAGGCUAAAUACUCCUGACUGACCGAUAGUGAACCAGUACCGUGAGGGAAAGGCGAAAAGAACCCCGGCGAGGGGAGUGAAAAAGAACCUGAAACCGUGUACGUACAAGCAGUGGGAGCACGCUUAGGCGUGUGACUGCGUACCUUUUGUAUAAUGGGUCAGCGACUUAUAUUCUGUAGCAAGGUUAACCGAAUAGGGGAGCCGAAGGGAAACCGAGUCUUAACUGGGCGUUAAGUUGCAGGGUAUAGACCCGAAACCCGGUGAUCUAGCCAUGGGCAGGUUGAAGGUUGGGUAACACUAACUGGAGGACCGAACCGACUAAUGUUGAAAAAUUAGCGGAUGACUUGUGGCUGGGGGUGAAAGGCCAAUCAAACCGGGAGAUAGCUGGUUCUCCCCGAAAGCUAUUUAGGUAGCGCCUCGUGAAUUCAUCUCCGGGGGUAGAGCACUGUUUCGGCAAGGGGGUCAUCCCGACUUACCAACCCGAUGCAAACUGCGAAUACCGGAGAAUGUUAUCACGGGAGACACACGGCGGGUGCUAACGUCCGUCGUGAAGAGGGAAACAACCCAGACCGCCAGCUAAGGUCCCAAAGUCAUGGUUAAGUGGGAAACGAUGUGGGAAGGCCCAGACAGCCAGGAUGUUGGCUUAGAAGCAGCCAUCAUUUAAAGAAAGCGUAAUAGCUCACUGGUCGAGUCGGCCUGCGCGGAAGAUGUAACGGGGCUAAACCAUGCACCGAAGCUGCGGCAGCGACACUAUGUGUUGUUGGGUAGGGGAGCGUUCUGUAAGCCUGUGAAGGUGUACUGUGAGGUAUGCUGGAGGUAUCAGAAGUGCGAAUGCUGACAUAAGUAACGAUAAAGCGGGUGAAAAGCCCGCUCGCCGGAAGACCAAGGGUUCCUGUCCAACGUUAAUCGGGGCAGGGUGAGUCGACCCCUAAGGCGAGGCCGAAAGGCGUAGUCGAUGGGAAACAGGUUAAUAUUCCUGUACUUGGUGUUACUGCGAAGGGGGGACGGAGAAGGCUAUGUUGGCCGGGCGACGGUUGUCCCGGUUUAAGCGUGUAGGCUGGUUUUCCAGGCAAAUCCGGAAAAUCAAGGCUGAGGCGUGAUGACGAGGCACUACGGUGCUGAAGCAACAAAUGCCCUGCUUCCAGGAAAAGCCUCUAAGCAUCAGGUAACAUCAAAUCGUACCCCAAACCGACACAGGUGGUCAGGUAGAGAAUACCAAGGCGCUUGAGAGAACUCGGGUGAAGGAACUAGGCAAAAUGGUGCCGUAACUUCGGGAGAAGGCACGCUGAUAUGUAGGUGAAGUCCCUCGCGGAUGGAGCUGAAAUCAGUCGAAGAUACCAGCUGGCUGCAACUGUUUAUUAAAAACACAGCACUGUGCAAACACGAAAGUGGACGUAUACGGUGUGACGCCUGCCCGGUGCCGGAAGGUUAAUUGAUGGGGUCAGCGCAAGCGAAGCUCUUGAUCGAAGCCCCGGUAAACGGCGGCCGUAACUAUAACGGUCCUAAGGUAGCGAAAUUCCUUGUCGGGUAAGUUCCGACCUGCACGAAUGGCGUAAUGAUGGCCAGGCUGUCUCCACCCGAGACUCAGUGAAAUUGAACUCGCUGUGAAGAUGCAGUGUACCCGCGGCAAGACGGAAAGACCCCGUGAACCUUUACUAUAGCUUGACACUGAACAUUGAGCCUUGAUGUGUAGGAUAGGUGGGAGGCUUUGAAGUGUGGACGCCAGUCUGCAUGGAGCCGACCUUGAAAUACCACCCUUUAAUGUUUGAUGUUCUAACGUUGACCCGUAAUCCGGGUUGCGGACAGUGUCUGGUGGGUAGUUUGACUGGGGCGGUCUCCUCCUAAAGAGUAACGGAGGAGCACGAAGGUUGGCUAAUCCUGGUCGGACAUCAGGAGGUUAGUGCAAUGGCAUAAGCCAGCUUGACUGCGAGCGUGACGGCGCGAGCAGGUGCGAAAGCAGGUCAUAGUGAUCCGGUGGUUCUGAAUGGAAGGGCCAUCGCUCAACGGAUAAAAGGUACUCCGGGGAUAACAGGCUGAUACCGCCCAAGAGUUCAUAUCGACGGCGGUGUUUGGCACCUCGAUGUCGGCUCAUCACAUCCUGGGGCUGAAGUAGGUCCCAAGGGUAUGGCUGUUCGCCAUUUAAAGUGGUACGCGAGCUGGGUUUAGAACGUCGUGAGACAGUUCGGUCCCUAUCUGCCGUGGGCGCUGGAGAACUGAGGGGGGCUGCUCCUAGUACGAGAGGACCGGAGUGGACGCAUCACUGGUGUUCGGGUUGUCAUGCCAAUGGCACUGCCCGGUAGCUAAAUGCGGAAGAGAUAAGUGCUGAAAGCAUCUAAGCACGAAACUUGCCCCGAGAUGAGUUCUCCCUGACUCCUUGAGAGUCCUGAAGGAACGUUGAAGACGACGACGUUGAUAGGCCGGGUGUGUAAGCGCAGCGAUGCGUUGAGCUAACCGGUACUAAUGAACCGUGAGGCUUAACCU
rnacentral:rRNA from 1 species